GAAGGUUGAUCUCUCGUAUGGAUG
rnacentral:siRNA from 1 species